GCCAGUUUAGAUGUAGUCAAAGAGUGCGUUAAUUACAAAGGCCUCCCAUUGGCUAUAUGAACCCAGGACCUGGAUCAUCCUCUCCUGCAGAGGUUAUUUAAGGAGAGACACAGUGUACAACAUUUGAAACAGCUUGUCAGUUCCUCUGAGGUCAAGACAUCCUUGGACACACAAGCCACUAUGGCCAAGCUGGUGUGUCUGAUGUUGGCCAUUCUUAUUCUAGUAGCAAUCUGCAGUGAGCACACAGCGAAAGCAGGUUCCUGAAAGCACAAAUUCAAAAGAACAAUGAAGGAUAAGGUGAUGGGUCACAAAAGAUGCCACAAGCCUUUCCUCAGGAUGUGCUGGACAUAAAUCUGGGCUCACCAGUGAUUUUAGAGCUCACAACUGUUUUAAGUCUAUUCUAAAGGAAGGCAUCUCAAGAACAAGUGUGGCUGCUUUGUUACAGCAGUUAACAGUGUGGUCUGCCCGAGCAGAUUCCUUCCACAGACCGAACAAGAGCUGCGACAGGUUUUACGCUGCCUUUGCUCAAAACAUAAGCAUGAUCGCAAGGUGUUGCAGAAUGAAGUACUGCAGAAGACAUGCAAGAGAAAACCCAUACCCCUAUCUAUUCCCUUGACCUGAGAAGAAGCAAGGAGUUCAUCCCAGACAGUGUUUUGAAAGCCCAGAAGAACCUAUGAUAGAUGCUUGUGCUUCAAAUUUAAAAGGGAUAUACCUAGUGACGUUUUCCACUUUCAGCACUGUCAUGCGAAACAUUUGUACAUAACAUUAAACUUCUCAUAGUACAGGCAAAGCAAAGCAGCAUAAGUGCAAUAACAUUUAAUCUUUCAAACCAAAGGCUUCAGUUAGGACAGUUUUUCAGUCUUAGUAUUUAAGAUUAAGAUUGAUGUGUUGAGUUCUUAAUAUUCUUAAUAUUUAUUUAUUAAGAACCCAACACUUCUGAUUUCCCUCUGCCUUGCUUUACAACAGAGGUCUCCAACCCAAUACUGAAUCACCAAUUUUGAAAGACUCGAACAAUUUAAUUGUACCUAAAGAAGCUGUUGAGUUUCUAAACUGCUUAAUAUAGUAAUCUCUACUUUAAUUUAGAGAUCAGACUGAAAGAUGACAUUGUCACAGCUCUAUAGAUCUUAUAUGCUUCAAGCCCAAUGCUAUGCCAGCUAAGAUUCCUUGAGUUUAAAAAGCCUAAACAGAUUUUUGCUCUUGGCUUUCCUUUAAUUGUACUGUAUUUUUUAACUGCUCAAUAACCUGCAAAUGGUGACUCGAAUGGCCACAGGAUUAGCACAGUCUUUAGAUAACGAGUUAUACGCCUAUGCCUAGAUAUGUUAUAUUUGAAGUUAUAGGCAAGUGUAGAACGUAUCAAGAGGAACACAACAAUUAUUUUUAAUUUUAAAGAUCUUUCAUGUUUUCUGAGAUGUUAUCAUUUAAUCAUAUAUUGUUUUACUUGUGCUAUAGGUACAUGUUAAAAUAAAGCUCUUUACUCUGAGUAGCUGCUUGAAUUUCUGCAGCAUUUCCUAUUUCCUCGUUACAGAGCCAAACUUGAGCGAAGGAACCCUGGCUUUUUGGCUUUAAACAUAUUCGCCUACCUUAGGUGUGUUGUGCACACUGCUUUUUAUCAUGAGCAGGCGUCUCCAGUGGCUAUGCAGAAGUUAUAUCUCAAAUGGUGAAUGGUGCCCUGUGUGUAGCCCCUGUGGACUCAAAAUCCUAAUGUAAUCCUGGAAUAACUUGUGUGACAACUCCAUCUCACAAAGGUGAGGUUUUUUUGUAUGGCUUUUUGCAAACAGCUUAUCGUAACAAAGAAUGAAACUUGAUUUCUGUGCAAUGUCUAUUAGGAUGUAAAUAAAAUUGCUGGUCCCAGGAAUCUGUUGUGCUUACCAGUAUUAUUUUCAUCACAAUCCUGAGAUACAAAAUAAAUAAUGUUCUUCAUCUGUUUAAUGAGAUGUUACUGUA
ensembl:lincRNA